rnacentral:rRNA from 1 species
GAUGAACGCUGGCGGCGUGCCUAAUACAUGCAAGUCGAGCGAAUGGAUUAAGAGCUUGCUCUUAUGAAGUUAGCGGCGGACGGGUGAGUAACACGUGGGUAACCUGCCCAUAAGACUGGGAUAACUCCGGGAAACCGGGGCUAAUACCGGAUAACAUUUUGAACCGCAUGGUUCGAAAUUGAAAGGCGGCUUCGGCUGGCACUUAUGGAUGGAGCCGCGUCGAAUUAGCUAGUUGGUGAGGUAACGGCUCACCAAGGCAACGAUGCGUAGCCGACCUGGGAGGGUGAUCGGCCACACUGGGACUGAGACACGGCCCAGACUCCUACGGGAGGCAGCAGUAGGGAAUCUUCCGCAAUGGACGAAAGUCUGACGGAGCAACGCCGCGUGAGUGAUGAAGGCUUUCGGGUCGUAAAACUCUGUUGUUAGGGAAGAACAAGUGCUAGUUGAAUAAGCUGGCACCUUGACGGUACCUAACCAGAAAGCCACGGCUAACUACGUGCCAGCAGCCGCAGUAA